GUGCGCAGGCGGUUAUGUAAGACAGAUGUGAAAUACCCCGGGCCGUCAACCUGGGAACUGCAUUAGUGACUGCAUAGCUGGAGUACGGCAGAGGGGGAGUGGAAUUCCGCGUGUAGCAGUGAAAUGCGUAGAUAUGCGGAGGAACACCGAUGGCGAAGGCAAUCCCCUCGGGCCUGUACUGACGCUCAUGCACGAAAGCGUGGGGAGCAAACAGGAUUAGAUACCCUAGU
rnacentral:rRNA from 1 species